CUGGGUUUCCCUUCCAGCUCAGCCCCUUCUGCGAUUCUUACCCUGUCACUCAGGUGCUGUAUCCCUAUGAGGCUCUGGCAGAGCUAAUGGAGGCUCAACAGGAGAGGGCAGCCCCAGCAUUCCCCUACCUGUGACACCUCAGCAGUGGCAGCCCCAAUGUCCCUCUCUCUGUGACACAACAGUGGUGGGAGUAGGGAAUAUGUAGUGCUCAGUAAGUAAGUGCAUCUUUCAGCAGAAACACUUCACUGGAGCCCUACGUUUCAGGAGGAGUGUUCCUUGCAAGAAGUAGACAAUUCACCUCCAGGAGAAUGAAAGAGAGACAGGUUCCAAAGACGAGGAAUAAAUAGGAGAGGACCGGGAUGAGGCAAAUCGUCCUCUACUUCAUGCACGAAACAGUCUGUCAGCAGGGAACCGUGCCAGGGAACUGCUUCUGCCGAAAGACGCUCAGCAGAAGGAAGACCUAGGAGCGCUUCGCUGCCGGCAGAGUGGUCUAUGCACGAGGUAGAUGACGAUUAGCCUCCGAGACAAUAAAAUCACAGCAGACUACAAACAACAAAGAAAGAAAGCUGCAUAGUAUCAGGCUGCAAUGUACUGCUGCAAGAAAAGCGUGGCUGUGGCAACUGCCCUUCCAGCUGAAUGCACAAUGGCAAUUUGUAAGGAAGCAGUUCAAUGAGAGCUACUUGUGCUACUACCCUAUUCCUGUUCCAGACCUCUGUGGAAAAAUAUGGGCUUGGCUUCAGGCUCUGAGAUGUAGAGAACACAACUGUAGAGGCAAUGAAGGGAUAGUCACAGUGAUUGGGGUUUCAUCAAGUGGUGUUCCUAGUAUAUUGCUCCUGGACCUUGGUACGAUGAAGGAGAGUUGUAUCACUCCUAAGAUACAGGUUCCUUCCCACUUUCAAGCUCCUCAAUAAAAUCUGUUAGUGUUAA